CUACAAUAUCGGUCACUCUCUAUUUUCCUCACAGACUAUUUUCUUAUACCUUGUCUGUGAAACCUCACUCUUUCUUUCUCUCUUUGUUGGUGUGAAGAAAUGAGAGUUGAAGCUCUCCUUUUAUAGCCAAAACUUCACCCUCUAAAGCCUACAAUAUUUGACAAUUUACACACACUUUUCACAAUUCAACAAAGUUGGCUACCAAACCAAAGAAAUUCAACAAGGUUGGCUACCAAACCAAACUAAUUCAACAAGGUUGGCUACCAACCAAACCAAGUCAACAAGGUUGACUACCAAACCAAAAAAAACUCUUAUUAGGCACAUGCCUAAUACUUUUUCAAUG
rnacentral:lncRNA from 1 species